GCGGAAGUGGCGGAAUGGCAGACGCGUCGGACUUAGGAUCCGAUGGGGUCCUCCCGUGGGGGUUCGAGUCCCCCCUUCCGCACCA
rnacentral:tRNA from 1 species